rnacentral:rRNA from 1 species
UACAGAGGUCUCAAGCGUUGUUCGGAUUCAUUGGGCGUAAAGGGUGCGUAGGCGGCGCGGUAAGUCGGAUGUGAAAUCUCGGGGCUUAACUCCGAAACUGCAUUCGAUACUGCCGUGCUUGAGGACUGGAGAGGAGACUGGAAUUUACGGUGUAGCGGUGAAAUGCGUAGAUAUCGUAAGGAAGACCAGUGGCGAAGGCGGGUCUCUGGACAGUUCCUGACGCUGAGGCACGAAGGCCAGGGGGAGCAAACGGGG